UCAAUGCAAAACCUGGAUGUCUUAAACCUACUUUAGCUGCACAGGGGUUGACAGAGACAACUGCUCACACAGUUUAACAUGAUGGCCAUAAAAACAGGAAUGCUUCUUUUUAUUGCUUUAUGGGCAGGUGUUGAUGGUCAGACUCUGACAGAAUCUGAACCCGUGGUUAAAAGACCAGGAGAAUCCCACAGACUGACCUGUACAGGCUCUGGAUUCACAUUCAGCAGCUAUUGGAUGGCCUGGGUCAGACAGGCUCCUGGAAAAGGACUAGAGUGGGUUGCCACUAUCGAUGUUACUAGCAAAUACUACGCACAGUCAGUUCAAGGCCGGUUCACCAUCUCCAGAGACAACAACAGACAGCAGGUGUAUCUGGACAUGAACACUCUGAAGACUGAAGAUUCUGCUGUUUAUUAUUGUGCUCGACACAGACAAAGCCACAGUGUCUGA